CUGAGUACGGCGGAACACGUGAAAUUCCGUCGGAAUCCGGGAGGACCAUCUCCCAAGGCUAAAUACUCCCUAGUGACCGAUAGUGAACCAGUACCGUGAGGGAAAGGUGAAAAGCACCCCGGAAGGGGAGUGAAACAGUUCCUGAAACCGUGUGCCUACAAGUAGUUAGAGCCCGUUAAUGGGUGAUAGCGUGCCUUUUGUAGAAUGAACCGGCGAGUUACGAUUUGUUGCAAGGUUAAGCGGAAAAAGCGGAGCCGUAGCGAAAGCGAGUCUGAAUAGGGCGCAUAAGUAACAGGUCGUAGACCCGAAACCAGGUGAUCUACCCAUGUCCAGGAUGAAGGUAAGGUAAUACUUACUGGAGGUCCGAACCCACGCACGUUGAAAAGUGCGGGGAUGAGGUGUGGGUAGCGGAGAAAUUCCAAUCGAACUUGGAGAUAGCUGGUUCUCUCCGAAAUAGCUUUAGGGCUAGCCUCGAGGUAAAGAGUCAUGGAGGUAGAGCACUGUUUGGACUAGGGGCCCUUCUCGGGUUACCGAAUUCAGAUAAACUCCGAAUGCCAUGUACUUAUACUCGGGAGUCAGACUGCGAGUGAUAAGAUCCGUAGUCGAAAGGGAAACAGCCCAGACCACCAGUUAAGGUCCCCAAAUAUAUGUUAAGUGGAAAAGGAUGUGGGGUUGCUUAGACAACCAGGAUGUUGGCUUAGAAGCAGCCACCAUUGAAAGAGUGCGUAAUAGCUCACUGGUCGAGUGACCCCGCGCCGAAAAUGUACCGGGGCUAAACAUAUUACCGAAACUGUGGAUGAACCUCUUUAGAGGUUCGUGGUAGGAGAGCGUUCUAAGGGCGGUGAAGUCAGACCGGAAGGACUGGUGGAGCGCUUAGAAGUGAGAAUGCCGGUAUGAGUAGCGAAAGAAGGGUGAGAAUCCCUUCCACCGAAUAUCUAAGGUUUCCUGAGGAAGGCUCGUCCGCUCAGGGUUAGUCGGGACCUAAGCCGAGGCCGAUAGGCGUAGGCGAUGGACAACAG
rnacentral:rRNA from 1 species